GAUGAACGCUGGCGGCGUGCCUAAUACAUGCAAGUCGAGCGAACGGACGAGAAGCUUGCUUCUCUGAUGUUAGCGGCGGACGGGUGAGUAACACGUGGAUAACCUACCUAUAAGACUGGGAUAACUUCGGGAAACCGGAGCUAAUACCGGAUAAUAUUUUGAACCGCAUGGUUCAAAAGUGAAAGACGGUCUUGCUGUCACUUAUAGAUGGAUCCGCGCUGCAUUAGCUAGUUGGUAAGGUAACGGCUUACCGAGGCAACGAUGCAUAGCCGACCUGAGAGGGUGAUCGGCCACACUGGAACUGAGACACGGUCCAGACUCCUACGGGAGGCAGAGUAGGGAAUCUUCCGCAAUGGGCGAAAGCCUGACGGAGCAACGCCGCGUGAGUGAUGAAGGUCUUCGGAUCGUAAAACUCUGUUAUUAGGGAAGAACAUAUGUGUAAGUAACUGUGCACAUCUUGACGGUACCUAAUCAGAAAGCCACGGCUAACUACGUG
rnacentral:rRNA from 1 species